rnacentral:rRNA from 1 species
UACGUAGGGGGCAAGCGUUGUCCGGAAUCAUUGGGCGUAAAGAGCGUGUAGGCGGUUCGGUAAGUCGGCUGUGAAAGUCGGGGGCUCAACCCUCGGAUGCCGGUGGAUACUGUCGGACUAGAGUACGGAAGAGGCGAGUGGAAUUCCUGGUGUAGCGGUGGAAUGCGCAGAUAUCAGGAGGAACACCUAUAGCGAAGGCAGCUUGCUGGGACGUUACUGACGCUAAGGCGCGAAAGCGUGGGAGCGAACAGGA